GCGAUUGAGUUCUUGUCUUAGUUGGAGGAGUCACACAUGCUUGCCCAUGAUGAUGUACACUACGAAGAGUCGAUGUUUGCUCAACAAGAAGUGACGGAGUAGGAGGAUGAUCUCUAAGUAGAGGAGGAGGCCGAGGAGGUCAAUUAUUCCAUGGACACACACACACACACACACACAUAGAAGCAUGAAGAGUUCAUGGACACACAACUGUACCCAAGAAGUUGCUUUGUGCCAUCCUUGGAUGAACGUAUCGCUUGAUGCGUCGAUGGCCCAAAUCAAUCAUAGGACAAGUUUUGGGGGAGGAUGGAACAAUACUAUAGCAACAUCGUCGGCAUCCCAUCAAUCCACACACGAAACUCUCUAAGUCACCGUUGGGGCACCAUCCUAGAACAAAUGGAUUUUUGGUCCCGUUGUAUUGGUAAAGUCAACCAUUCAUCACCGAGUGGGGUGCAAAUCAUGACG
rnacentral:lncRNA from 1 species